rnacentral:rRNA from 1 species
GGUUAAGCGACUAAGCGUACACGGUGGAUGCCCUGGCAGUCAGAGGCGAUGAAGGACGUGCUAAUCUGCGAUAAGCGUCGGUAAGGUGAUAUGAACCGUUAUAACCGGCGAUUUCCGAAUGGGGAAACCCAGUGUGUUUCGACACACUAUCAUUAACUGAAUCCAUAGGUUAAUGAGGCGAACCGGGGGAACUGAAACAUCUAAGUACCCCGAGGAAAAGAAAUCAACCGAGAUUCCCCCAGUAGCGGCGAGCGAACGGGGAGCAGCCCAGAGCCUGAAUCAGUAUGUGUGUUAGUGGAAGCGUCUGGAAAGGCGCGCGAUACAGGGUGACAGCCCCGUACACAAAAAUGCACAUAUUGUGAGCUCGAUGAGUAGGGCGGGACACGUGGUAUCCUGUCUGAAUAUGGGGGGACCAUCCUCCAAGGCUAAAUACUCCUGACUGACCGAUAGUGAACCAGUACCGUGAGGGAAAGGCGAAAAGAACCCCGGCGAGGGGAGUGAAAAAGAACCUGAAACCGUGUACGUACAAGCAGUGGGAGCACGCUUAGGCGUGUGACUGCGUACCUUUUGUAUAAUGGGUCAGCGACUUAUAUUCUGUAGCAAGGUUAACCGAAUAGGGGAGCCGAAGGGAAACCGAGUCUUAACUGGGCGUUAAGUUGCAGGGUAUAGACCCGAAACCCGGUGAUCUAGCCAUGGGCAGGUUGAAGGUUGGGUAACACUAACUGGAGGACCGAACCGACUAAUGUUGAAAAAUUAGCGGAUGACUUGUGGCUGGGGGUGAAAGGCCAAUCAAACCGGGAGAUAGCUGGUUCUCCCCGAAAGCUAUUUAGGUAGCGCCUCGUGAAUUCAUCUCCGGGGGUAGAGCACUGUUUCGGCAAGGGGGUCAUCCCGACUUACCAACCCGAUGCAAACUGCGAAUACCGGAGAAUGUUAUCACGGGAGACACACGGCGGGUGCUAACGUCCGUCGUGAAGAGGGAAACAACCCAGACCGCCAGCUAAGGUCCCAAAGUCAUGGUUAAGUGGGAAACGAUGUGGGAAGGCCCAGACAGCCAGGAUGUUGGCUUAGAAGCAGCCAUCAUUGUUCCUGUCCAACGUUAAUCGGGGCAGGGUGAGUCGACCCCUAAGGCGAGGCCGAAAGGCGUAGUCGAUGGGAAACAGGUUAAUAUUCCUGUACUUGGUGUUACUGCGAAGGGGGGACGGAGAAGGCUAUGUUGGCCGGGCGACGGUUGUCCCGGUUUAAGCGUGUAGGCUGGUUUUCCAGGCAAAUCCGGAAAAUCAAGGCUGAGGCGUGAUGACGAGGCACUACGGUGCUGAAGCAACAAAUGCCCUGCUUCCAGGAAAAGCCUCUAAGCAUCAGGUAACAUCAAAUCGUACCCCAAACCGACACAGGUGGUCAGGUAGAGAAUACCAAGGCGCUUGAGAGAACUCGGGUGAAGGAACUAGGCAAAAUGGUGCCGUAACUUCGGGAGAAGGCACGCUGAUAUGUAGGUGAAGUCCCUCGCGGAUGGAGCUGAAAUCAGUCGAAGAUACCAGCUGGCUGCAACUGUUUAUUAAAAACACAGCACUGUGCAAACACGAAAGUGGACGUAUACGGUGUGACGCCUGCCCGGUGCCGGAAGGUUAAUUGAUGGGGUUAGCCGCAAGGCGAAGCUCUUGAUCGAAGCCCCGGUAAACGGCGGCCGUAACUAUAACGGUCCUAAGGUAGCGAAAUUCCUUGUCGGGUAAGUUCCGACCUGCACGAAUGGCGUAAUGAUGGCCAGGCUGUCUCCACCCGAGACUCAGUGAAAUUGAACUCGCUGUGAAGAUGCAGUGUACCCGCGGCAAGACGGAAAGACCCCGUGAACCUUUACUAUAGCUUGACACUGAACAUUGAGCCUUGAUGUGUAGGAUAGGUGGGAGGCUUAGAAGUGUGGACGCCAGUCUGCAUGGAGCCGACCUUGAAAUACCACCCUUUAAUGUUUGAUGUUCUAACGUUGACCCGUAAUCCGGGUUGCGGACAGUGUCUGGUGGGUAGUUUGACUGGGGCGGUCUCCUCCUAAAGAGUAACGGAGGAGCACGAAGGUUGGCUAAUCCUGGUCGGACAUCAGGAGGUUAGUGCAAUGGCAUAAGCCAGCUUGACUGCGAGCGUGACGGCGCGAGCAGGUGCGAAAGCAGGUCAUAGUGAUCCGGUGGUUCUGAAUGGAAGGGCCAUCGCUCAACGGAUAAAAGGUACUCCGGGGAUAACAGGCUGAUACCGCCCAAGAGUUCAUAUCGACGGCGGUGUUUGGCACCUCGAUGUCGGCUCAUCACAUCCUGGGGCUGAAGUAGGUCCCAAGGGUAUGGCUGUUCGCCAUUUAAAGUGGUACGCGAGCUGGGUUUAGAACGUCGUGAGACAGUUCGGUCCCUAUCUGCCGUGGGCGCUGGAGAACUGAGGGGGGCUGCUCCUAGUACGAGAGGACCGGAGUGGACGCAUCACUGGUGUUCGGGUUGUCAUGCCAAUGGCACUGCCCGGUAGCUAAAUGCGGAAGAGAUAAGUGCUGAAAGCAUCUAAGCACGAAACUUGCCCCGAGAUGAGUUCUCCCUGACUCCUUGAGAGUCCUGAAGGAACGUUGAAGACGACGACGUUGAUAGGCCGGGUGUGUAAGCGCAGCGAUGCGUUGAGCUAACCGGUACUAAUGAACCGUGAGGCUUAACCUU